CAUAACUGCAUCAGCCUCGAUAUGACCCAAGAAGGGGGCACGUGCGCAGUGGUCAGAAACAACUGCUGCAUCUUUGUCCUUGGCAAUCUACAUGAAAUCUCUGCCUUAACCAGGAAGGUUCGAGACAUGAAUGAAGAGUGCUCUUUUCUGGACUUCCCUGGUAAUGCAAUGGAUAAGAAUCCGCCUGCCAAUGCAGGGGACAUGGAUUCAAUACCUGGUCCAGAAGGAUUCCACAUGCUGCUGAGAAAUGGAGUAUUUCCUGCCAUUAUCAGUAAACAAGGAUGUCCCAGCCAUCAGCGAUUCUGUCCCUCCAAAGUUAAUUUCUGAGCUACAAGGGCACCCAGGAAGAACAGUACCUAUAAUCUGGCAGCCCUUAGGCUGCAGUCACUCCCAAUGGCUGUGACUAUUUUUUAAGUCGACACUGCAGAGCAGCUAAGCCAGUGUGCCCCAACUACUGCCCCUGAGUGCUGCAAGGGCUGAAGCCUGCAGCUCCAAGGCCCAGGAGCCACAACUGCUGAGCCCAUG